AACGAACGCUGGUGGCGUGCUUAACACAUGCAAGUCGAACGAGAAAGUUUCCUUCGGGAAAUUAGUAAAGUGGCGCAAGGGUGAGUAUCACGUGAAUAAUCUGCCCUCGAGAUCGGGAUAACAUGGUGAAAACUAUGCUAAUACCGGAUAAGACCACAUUUCAUAAGAAAUGCGGUAAAAGGAGUCUCAACCUUCACUCGAGGAUGAGUUCGCGCAACAUUAGCUUGUUGGUGAGAUAAAAGCUCACCAAGGCUACGAUGUUUAGCCGGCCUGAGAGGGUGAUCGGCCACACUGGAACUGAGACACGGUCCAGACUCCUACGGGAGGCAGCAGUGGGGAAUAUUGCGCAAUGGGCGAAAGCCUGACGCAGCAACGCCGUGUGAGCGAUG
rnacentral:rRNA from 1 species